GAGGGUAUAGCUCAGUGGUAGAGCACAUGCUUAGCAUGCAUGAGGUCCUGGGUUCAAUCCCCAGUACCUCUA
rnacentral:tRNA from 1 species